UGAGGAAUAUUGGUCAAUGGACGCAAGUCUGAACCAGCCAAGUCGCGUGAAGGACGACUGCCCUACGGGUUGUAAACUUCUUUUGUACAAGAGUAAAAUGUAGGACGUGUCCUAUAUUGCAAGUACUGUACGAAUAAGCAUCGGCUAACUCCGUGCCAGCAGCCGCGGUAAUACGGAGGAUGCGAGCGUUAUCCGGAUUUAUUGGGUUUAAAGGGUGCGUAGGCGGGAGAUUAAGUCAGCGGUGAAAGUUUGAGGCUCAACCUUAAAAUUGCCGUUGAAACUGGUUUUCUUGAGUAUAGAUGAAGUAGGCGGAAUUCGUAGUGUAGCGGUGAAAUGCAUAGAUAUUACGAAGAACCCCAAUUGCGUAGGCAGCUUACUAAACUAUAACUGACGCUGAUGCACGAAAGCGUGGGUAUCAAACAGG
rnacentral:rRNA from 1 species